GCGUGCUUAACACAUGCAAGUCGAACGGUGAACACGGAGCUUGCUCUGUGGGAUCAGUGGCGAACGGGUGAGUAACACGUGAGCAACCUACCCCUGACUCUGGGAUAAGCGCUGGAAACGGCGUCUAAUACUGGAUACGAGUGGCGACCGCAUGGUCAGCUACUGGAAAGAUUUAUUGGUUGGGGAUGGGCUCGCGGCCUAUCAGCUUGUUGGUGAGGUAAUGGCUCACCAAGGCGUCGACGGGUAGCCGGCCUGAGAGGGUGACCGGCCACACUGGGACUGAGACACGGCCCAGACUCCUACGGGAGGCAGCAGUGGGGAAUAUUGCACAAUGGGCGCAAGCCUGAUGCAGCAACGCCGCGUGAGGGAUGACGGCCUUCGGGUUGUAAACCUCUUUUAGCAGGGAAGAAGCGAAAGUGACGGUACCUGCAGAAAAAGCGCCGGCUAACUACGUGCCAGCAGCCGCGGUAAUACGUAGGGCGCAAGCGUUAUCCGGAAUUAUUGGGCGUAAAGAGCUCGUAGGCGGUUUGUCGCGUCUGCUGUGAAAUCCGGAGGCUCAACCUCCGGCCUGCAGUGGGUACGGGCAGACUAGAGUGCGGUAGGGGAGAUUGGAAUUCCUGGUGUAGCGGUGGAAUGCGCAGAUAUCAGGAGGAACACCGAUGGCGAAGG
rnacentral:rRNA from 1 species